AGUGAAGGACAGGGGAGUCUGGAGUGCUGCAGUUCAUGGGGUCACAGAGUUGGAUACAACUUAGCAAAUGAACAACAAGAACAAUCCUUAAAACAGGAAUUUUAUUAUUUUUGUACUUUUUUCCUGACAUACAGGAAAAAGACAGCAGAGUCACUAUAGGAAGUUCAAAACUACAGAAAAGUAUAAAGGAGAAAAUCUGAAUCAACUGGAACUCCAACUAGAACUAAUCACACUGUUAGCAUUUUGGCAGGACAACCUUUUGAGAAUGAGCUCUUGUUUCCUUGGCAGUAAGUUCAUCAGGAUAGAGCAAGAGGCAGGUUUCCUUCCCCAUCCUGAAAAGGGAAGACCAAGGUUCAGGCAGUAAAAAUCAGGCUCCCCUUGCUUCAUGGAAGAUUUAGGCAGCUUUUGACUUUCCAAAGUCCUGUUCAAGAAGAUGUAUACCUGGAUUGUCUUCAAGGGAAGGGUUCUGGAGUAAAGGAAGAAGCAACUAGCCUUUAGCAAGUAGCCCGGCCCUGGGACAGCGGGGUUCAGAGACUGAACACGGCAGUGCCCAGGGAUGAGGAACAGUACCAACCUCCACACAGCGCCUGGAGUGUCCUGACCUCUGACGGGGGAGCCUGGGUGUUUGCAGGGAAUUAAAAACUUGCCCACCACAGUACUGGUUCUAUCUGGGAACAGCUUAGUGACUGGUGUAGUGAAUGGGGGAAUGAGGCCCUGCCUAAUGGUAAAAUCUACUUUCCAGUCUUGCUCUGAUUCUAUACCAUUUCUUCCCUCAGUCACCAGGACAGCCCCCAUGCCAGGAUGAAUUGCUGGAAGGGAAUCUUUUUAUGUUUACCUCUUGACUUCUUUCUCUUUUGAAAUUUUAUAAUUUACAAUAUUCGUUCCAUAUAAAUCCUAAGUAUUCCAGAUACUUCAGAGCUCCAUGAUUUAGAUCUAACUUUGUGCUUUGAAGAGCCUAAGUUAGGGGUUCCAUUUAGAAUCUUCAAGCAAGAGAAGGAAGAUGACGGAUGCUCUCUGGAUAGUGUAUUCCAAAUUGCUGGGAAAACAAACCACAGAAAAUUAUUUCAGAGCAUAGAUGAAACAGAGGAGGAGGUGGAAUCAAAACUUCUCAGCUCUUCAGUGGGAUAACUGCCAGUUCUAUCUUAAUGUGAGCUUUCUGCAUAGUUCACAUCUAGUUUCUAAUAUGAACAGAUGUAGAGAAUGCACAUUGGCCUUAUUCCUAGCCUCUGUAUCCUUUGUUUAUUCCCUUGGCCAAGACCUCCAAAUCUGCACAUAGAAAUCCAGGCCUUUGCUGGCCUGAGCAUGGAAUAUUUCACCAGCUUUGUCUUCCACUUAGCACUAUCCCACUCAGUCUCACGUGGCUCAGCUCUUCCAGGAAGAGACUAUUUGCUUCCUCCUUUCACCCCAGAGCCCUCCCCUUUGAGAGAACCUGCCUCUCCUGGGCCCAAAGGGCUCCCUCAGCUUGUAUAUCAUGUUCCCACAAACCCUGCAGGUUGCUUUCCUGACUAGAUGGUGAUCAGCUUACACCCUGAAGCGACAGAGACUGAGACAACCAAAGUUAACAAAGUAAGGUGGAAAUCAUGCUUCCUACAAAAUCAGUUGGCUUUGUAACUGUCUUUUCUCCUGGUCUAGCAACUGCUUUCUCCCAUGUGAAUACAAGUAUUUAUUGCCUUGUACUUGAAAUGGAAAGGCAAAUUUUGAGCUUCAAGGAAUGGGCAAUCCUGAGAGGGCAGGGGCUCUGGAAGAACAGUGGUUGGUCAGCACAGGCUGUACUCUUGAAACGACUUGACCUUUCUUCCCUCUGAGAACCUAACCUCUAGGUCAGUUUGACGUUUGCAAGGCUGGUGGCCACUCUCUCCCACUGAGGCAGCCUGUACAGUGAGUUCAGUACUGUGCUGGGAUGAAAUGUCCAUCAGUUUAAAAAUCAACCACAGCUAUUCUUGGGGCUGGGCUGGUUCCCCAUCCCAUUUUUAGCAGGAUGGGGCUGUGGCCAUGGGGCUCCUGCUAAGCUCUGGGACUGUCCAGGAGGUGGGCACUGGUGCCCACUGGGUGGGGUAGGGAAUGUGCAGUAGGAACCCUGUGCAUCAGGGCUCAGAAGAGCCAGCUGUGUCCUCCAGGCAGCAGGGAGCCGGGAGAAGAUCGUGGGAUAUAGGGUCUCAGGUUCACACUGCAGGGCUGGCCCAGGAAGCCAACUUUGGGGGAGACUGCAGUUCUCCUCUGUUACUGUGAUCAAAGGCCUCCUUCAGGUGGAACUGCUGGUCUCCAAGAAGUGAGCAAUGCAGAGGGCUGGCUAAUGCCAGAUCCCUGCCUCAUAGUGGACUCGGCCCUUGCCUCCUUUUUCUCAGACCCAAUGAAGCCUGUUGCUUCUUGGAAGCAGGAGCGAAUAUCAGCCACAUGGGGCUGUCUCACCCGGAAUCCAUCUGUAGUGCAGGUGGGCCGUGCCGGCCUGAGAGGCCCACGCCAGACACUUAGCAGGGUGUGAUCAGGCACAGGUGGCGAGGAACUGGCACUGGAGGGCUUGGUAGGUACCUUCAAGGUGGAGGAACAGGACUGUAUAUGAGCUGCCGUGGUCCUUAGCUGAUGUUUAGCACUGAUAUUUAGCUCAACAUCAGCACCGUAGCUGCUCUUGAGCACUGAUUUCCCACACUGGCUGAUGAGCGCUCUCUGGUUUCAGUCUUCUCUGGUGAAAUGCGUUUUGCAGCCGCAACCCUCAAGAUAUUCCAAGUAGAAAGCCUCCUAUCUUCCCCUGGAGGAACCACUCUUGCUGGCGAGUGGGCAGGUGCAAGAGAAGCUCUGUGGGCUGGACGCGCCCCUCGGUCCCCUAGGCAACCUCGCCUAGAGCGCUGGGCCGGGGCCUGAAGCACACGGGGAGGUGGGCAGGGAGCGAGCGGAGCACGCCCCAGGUUGCCAAGGAGUCGGGUGGGGGUGAGGGUGCGAGUGGCUCCGCCCACGCCACGUGCAAGUGCUCACGGCUGCCCUCCCGCAGGUGAGACUCAUCACAACUCUCCUUAGUCCUGCAUGCUCGGCGUCCUGUGGGCCGCUCGCCAUCCUAGCAGCCUGGCGGGGAAAUUUUGCGCUGUGCCUGAGGAUAACUCAAUUGGCAGCGUUACUGGACUAAAUUCUAGACGUUUAACUGGAAGAGCCAGGAAAUGAAGUGUAUAUGGUGGCUCUUCCUGAACCGUUCUCUCCUCCUGUUCUGCAGCCUGCCUUGCUGGGGCCAAGGAGUAGAAGGAGGCCUUUUACAAUGAAACUCCUCUCAUGCCUGGAAAUAGGUAUCAUGAGCCCAUUUGACUGACGAGAGAACUGAGGCUCAGCAAGUUCGACUUUCCCAAAAUCUUAUGGCCGUCUUGGUUAUCUGUUUAUUGGACCUGGAAAAGCUGUGUGUCUUCUUUAAGGAGAAGAGAGGCUCCAGUAUGACUUGGUGCAGCAAUAUCAGGAGUCCUUCUUGUGGAAAUUGCUAGAAAACACAUUUCAACUAACUACGACUAGGUUAAUACCAGCGAAAGGACUAGAGUUUAUCUACAUGAUGGAAACAAAGCCAUUUGUCUUCCCUUGACCCCCAUGCUUCUCAUCCUGGACCGAUAAAAAAAGACAUUAUAAGAGAAGAAGACAGAGGAAGAGAGAGUGUCUAAAAGAAUGAAAAGAGAGAAGUUGUAAGAAAAAGAGAGUAAGAGACAACCGAAAAGGGACCAUGAGCAAGAGAAAUUUGAGACUGGCAAUGGUCAUUGUUCAAGUAGAAACAUUCUGUUCGAGAACCACCUAAAUCUCAACCUAUGCUAUUAAACAGGUGCCAAAAUAGGCAAACGUC